rnacentral:lncRNA from 1 species
UAAGGGUUAAAAUGAUUAAAAUGAAUAAUUGAUAAUUUGAAAUAGGAAAAAAGGUAUAAAGAGGUAGGGGUGAAAGGAGGGGAAGGGGAAAGGGAAAAAGGGAAGGAAAAAUUAUGAGAAAAGAAAAAAAAAUGGAAAUGAAAUCUAUGUAGAUAGAGAACAGUGGAGGGGGUGAAGAGUGCACAGGGAAUGGGGAAAAAAUAAGAACCAAGAUACAUCAUGUACAGGUACAAGCACCCGAUGAUAAAUGUAAAUGUACUGUAUACCUAAAACGUACCAAUAAAAGAACUUAAGAAUAAAAAAUAAAAUAAAAUUUAAAAAAUAAUAUGCUUUUCCUAACAGACUGCUCCUCUUCCUGUGAAGUAGAUAUGUAUAUUGCAUGAACCUGUAGUUAUUCAAGAUUAGGAUUAAGGAUAGACAAGGUACAGUAGUUAGUUACCUUAAAAUAUCCACUCCUAAGCAGUAUUAUUUUUUAAAUCCUUUCACCCUGUCUAUCUCCCUGUCCAUGGCCUCCUCUCCUCCAGUUGGGAGGCACUCCACCACAAGCUCUUCACAUGCAAGGCAAUGUGCCAUGCCUUGAGCCUUCACCAUCAUGUCCAUGCACUGUGUACAGAUGCCAAAACUCUUAAGGUGCAAUGUUGAACUCUUAAAUAGUAGCCAUGACAUCAAUCAGCCCCAAACUGGUACGCAAUGCAUAGUACAAGGAAUAUGUUUGCAUUGGGGGGGGAAUUUUGUCAUAUUUCUUAAAAUGCAUCAUGUUCCACAGCAAAGUUUGGAAUCUAAUAUCAAGGCACUCCCUGUUCAAGACUGAACAAAAUGACUUUGGGCCAUGGAAAUUAUAGGAGAUAUCAAAGGAUGCCCCUCUAGGAAUUCUCUCUCCUGGAGCAUCCCAGAGGUCUUUGGAGGGAAGAAGUCCUCAAGCCCCCUCUGUCCUUUCUUCCUGAGCUAGCCUCAACUGGGAGAAAGACCUAGUGCCCUGAUAGAGGUGGGGCAUACACUCCUGGAGCAAAAAGACACUGCUGAACUUGUAACCCAACAUCACAUCAGUGCGGUAAGAAGGAACCAAAGCCUGGCACAGUGGCAGGUGCCUGUGUCCCAGCUAACCCAGACUCUGAGACAGGAUUACUCAAGCCCACAGCUGCAAGACUGGCCUGGGCAACAUAGCAAAAUCCUAUCUCAAAUAAAAUAAAAUAAAAUAAACUCAAGAAGAAACCCAGAGCUCUGGUGUGCUGCCUCCUAGCCCAACCCAAUACAGAAAGGGGUAGAGGCUCAACAAAACACCUAUCAGGGGCCAGGGAUUUAGCUCAGUGGUUCCACUGCCUGCCUCGCAAGCACAAGGUCCCCAGUUCGAUCCCCAGUACCAAAAAAAAAAAAAAAGACACCUAUCAGCUGGAAACAGCUCUCUGAGUUUCUCCACAGAGUACUGCAGGGAGUGGUUUCUCCAUUCUCUUAAUCUCUCCUUCUCUCUUCCACUCCACUUACUCUCUCUACCAAACAAAUAUUUGGGAAAAUGACUCUGCUAAUCCCAAUCAGUCUAACACACCCUGGCCUCAGGCCUGGCACUGUGUGUGUGUGUGUGCGCGCGCGCGCGCGCGAUCCCCAAUGGAUGCAGCCUGCCAGUCUGAGCCUUCACCAGAGCUGCAAAAAAAAAAAGAGGAAGCCAGUGUGCAUGGCCUGUAUGUGUGUUAAAGCCAUUGGGUGCUCACUCUGUACCUGAGCUUCAAGAAGAAACUGAACAACCCUACCAUGGAGAACAUGGAGGGGGAGUCAGACUUGCAGACAAGGAGCCAAGAUAUUACUCUGCAGCACAAGAUGGGUGGGCUUACCAGUGUUCAAAGAGGCCCGGAGUCCAAUUUGGCAUGUCUUCCACCAAAAUGUUCAGGAUCUGAACUACCACAUGUAACAGGUGAGUGUGAAGUGUAGUGGGAGACCUGGAGAGGACUGAUUUCCAGUUGGCUGAGAGAGUAGAAGAGAGAACUGAACAGAGGAAUGUGACCUGCGCAGACUCAGUGCCCACAAGGUGUAGGGACCAGAGGGUGUGAAGGCUGUAAGUUCCACAGCUGAAAUGUGGAGGAAGUACUAACAAGCACACUUGGUCCUUUUCAGACCGACUGACCCACAAGCACCGGGCUGCAGACCUCACCUUGUGAAAGGGCAGGAAGCUAAGGAGUGUUUCAGCAGCGACCUCCCCUCCAAGAAUGGGGACUGCAGGACCUGGCUCGGUGGCAGCAGUGGCGCAGGAUGAGCGGAGCGAUGUCGGGAAGACUCUGCCGGUCUCUCGGCAUCACGAACCGGCCGCCUUCUGCUGCUACUGCGGGAUUCCCCCACGGAAACUGCUCGCUUCAUCUGGGCCGAGUGAACUGCUGGCGCCGGCUGUCCGUGCCUCCGGCGCCGCACGGGGCCAGUCUUCGGGGAGGCUCGGCAGCUCUUCCGCGGGUCCCUGGCAUGGCAUGCACAGGCGACAGGCAGGAGGUGCAGUUGGCUCCAGAGAUGUAUCUGAGAGUCCCUGGAAGGCCAGGACAGCAGAGGCCAUGAGCUCCGCUAGGCUCAGGACCCUGUUCUCUGGAGGUGGGGUCACCCUGGGCCCUGUGUCACCGCAAUGCUGCAGAGAAAUAGUGGUCCUAGGCCCAAGUGCGCUGCCAGACAGGAUCCUGAUCUCUCCAAGAAGCAGGAUCUGCCCAGCCUGCUUACAGGAGUUGAGAAGUAAACCAAAGCAGACGCGCAUCCGGGAGCACCAGCCUCACUCUCCUCAGGCUAAACCGAAGCACGGACAAGACUCUGUCCUCCCCCUAAGUCUCCUCCAGUCCCAAGCCCAUUGCUUCUUCCCCAGAGGAUGGAGCAGUCCUAGAGGCAGUCAUGGGGGCAGUCACCUGUUUUCCCAGCCUUCCAGUGCCCUACUGCCACGUGGACUCGCAAUUUGUGGAGACAGACUAAUUCCAGCCCCUCCUAGUGUGGGCGGCUGGAGGCACCCCAUGUCCAUUGGAGUUAGGGGUUUGUUCCUAGAAAUAACAGCCAGAAAUCAAUACCUGGUAGAUCAGGACUCCUCUUUUUGCCAC